rnacentral:piRNA from 1 species
UGACUUCACCCGUAGCACUUGUUCCUGCUC